ensembl:snoRNA Gm22490 predicted gene, 22490
UGCACUUGUGUGUGUUUUUGUUUAACUUGUGGACAAAGACUAUGUGCAAAAACUAAAUCCCCUUUUGUAUCUCAGAACUCAUCGUUCAGUAUGCCUUGAUACAGAUAAAAAUCGAUAUA